UUGAUAGUCAUAGGGUCUAAAGUCCUUUGUUUAUCCUCAGAACAGGCAUUCUGUGGACAGUGACAGGGCAUGCUGCUGUACACCCUCCUGUCAAUGUGUCUCAAUCCUGCCCUGAAGCGACCACCUCUAGGAGUGAAAAGGAGACUUCAGUCUCAUAGACCCAGUCUCACCUUCUGCUUGC
ensembl:misc_RNA